rfam:Triticum urartu cultivar G1812 contig1111741, whole genome shotgun sequence.
AUACUACUCCCUCUGUUCCGAAUUACUUGUCUUGGAUUUGUCUAGAUACGGAUGUAUCUAGACUCAUUUUAGUGCUAGAUACCUCCCUAUCUAGACAAAUCCAAGACAAAUAAUUUGUAACGGAGGGAGUACAUC